AGUCACCACACAUAACUAGCCAAGCCCCUGAUGGCCCGAUCAUGCUCGCGGUUGGCUAUUUUAAAAUGUUUCUCUUUUAUCUGUUGUGUGCUCAUUGAACUAUGGUGAUUAUGCUUGUCAGUUCGUUAUCAAGGUGAGUUGAGGUAGAUAGCACGGGCUGAUAUUGAAAAAGAAAAUGUCAUUGUGAUGGUAAGCAAAAUAUUACGUUUUCAUUAGUGAAGGACUAUAGAGAGUAAGAGGUCUUGAUGAGAUGCUUACAUGACGUGAAUAAUUAAUUUUAGGUGUAUCAUGGGCCCUGCUUCAUUGUUCAGUUAUGUCGCUUGUAUUCGUGGAUCAAUUGCUGGACAUAUAAAGUUCAGUUUUCACAGAUAGCAAAAGUUGCAAAACUAGGUGUGCUGAAUUUUGUUCAAAGUGCAACCUUCUAUUACCGAAAAAGGGUUUUCCCCCGCUUUGUAUACAAAGCAGCCAGCCGAACCAUACAGGGAUAGGUGCUGGGGCGGAAGCAGCACAGUCACGCCCAAAAGAAACGACAAAGAAAGAGCAAAAAAACCAAUGCCGAUAACGGCGGAUCAACAAAAAACGAAGAAGCCUCGCGAUCGCUGCGCCCACCGAGAUCUUCCACUAGGCUCCAAGACUCCGAAGCGCCGGCACCUAUCAACACCUUGAGGAAGGAUCGCGACGAUGACGACGCUGUUGCCAAUGGUUUCCCCCGGUACACGACGAGGCGAGAGGAUGGGUUGCAGUGUGUGUACGGCAUCUUAUAUAUACUAUGGGUGGCUAAUUUAGGUGGUUACGACCACUAUCUUGCCUUCUUACUCUCUUGGGAGGGAGGGGUUGAAGAAGAAGUAUGCCCCGUUGACAAUCGAUGAUAAAUCAUCAGAAUAUGUGUAGGAGAAUUGGACGAUUUUAAUACUCCCUCCGUUCCUAAAUAUAAGUCGAUAAGGCUCCUACAUUGCCGACGAGUGCUAGCGGAAGAGGAACCGACUACACCUCUAAGGGUGUGCGCACGAGGAUCAUUGAGGAGACGGGAACCAUGUCAUCUCCCCUAGCUUGCGAGCCCUUCAAGCAUGAUGCCAACCCAGUCAGUACAUCAACAUACACAGUCAUUUAUAUCUAUAUCUUUGUAUUCAGUAAUGAAACAUGGUUUCGCUUCCAUGUGGAAGGACAUGAUAGGCAGGGUUUGAGGAGGCGAGAUUAAGGAGGUUGAAUUUCUUAAUGGUUUCCAAUACUCAUCUGAAUAGCUUCAAAGAAUUAUCAUGUGCUAAUUUCUCCAAACAUUUAUUUAGAAAACAUGUUGAGUAAUGUGCUUUCUAUUUCAGAUUGGCAUGUUAAUGAGUUGUAUUUGUGUCAAUUUGUUAGUGCAGGACAAAGUUUUUUAUGUACAUAUUGUGCUAAAUGAUUCAGAGGGUAACACUUAUUUAGUAUACCUUACUUAUUUACA